rnacentral:lncRNA from 1 species
GAGAGGCAUAACUCGUAACAGCCACUGGUGGCGCUACGAUUGAGCGCAGGAAUUCCAGCCUAGUUCGGCAAGGGUGGAAACAGGACUUUUUAAGUCAGUUAACUCACUUGCCUCGGGAAGAUGCUUAUUACCCUGCUGUGGUAUUGCGCACCAUAUUGCCAAGCUGUUGUAUAUAUGCACGUAUUCCCCAGUGUCUGCACCAAGCUCCGUGUCGUCCCCUGCAGCACUUGUGGAACGGAUGCCACAGAGAAACAAGACCAAUUCUAUUUGAGAAUGAAAGGUUUAUAUUAGGUUGUGUAGAUUGUGUUACGGAGAUUUCUAGGAAAUAAGCAUAUCAUUGUAGUACAUAACAGCCCAAAGUUGCCCCUGGCUGUUUUUUCUGUUAGAGUUUUUCCUGACAGGACUAGGUUGGGGUGACCUAACAUGACUGGGUCAUGGUGACCUGACAGGACUAGGUUGGGGUGACCUAACACGACUGGGUCAUGGUGACCUGACAGGACUAGAUUGGGGUGACCUAACACGACUGGGUCAUGGUGACCUGACAGGACUAGAUUGGGGUGACCUAACAUGACUGGGUCAUGGCGAUCUGACAGGACUAGGUUGGGGUGACCUAACACGACUUGGUCAUGGUGACCUGACAGGACUAGGUAGGGGUGACCUAACACGACUGGGUCAUGGUGACCUGACAGGACUAGGUUGGGGUGACCUAACAAACUGGGGCAUGGUGACCUGACAGGACUAAGUCACAGUUACCUAAUAUUACUGGGUCAUGGUGACCUGACAGGACUAGGUUGGGGUGACCUAGUAUGACUGGGCCAUGGUGACCUUUCAGGACUAGGUCACAGUAACCUAACAUGACUGGGUCAUGGUGACCUUUCAGGACUAGGUCACAGUUACUUAACACGACUGGGUCAUGGUGACCUGACAGGACAUGUUUUCUGAUAUACUUGAGAACUCUUUGUUUGAGGAACCUUGAAAGUGUGUCAGUGUUGUCAUUGAUCCAUUCCACGGUGUAGGUGAGCUGGUAGGACAGUAGCUGUAACAAUGUAAGUUGCACCUGUCAUUGUAGCAGUACAUGAUGUUGUAGCUGAUGCAGGUGGCGAGGUCACUGUGCCUUCUCUGUCUGGCCUUACUGUCGUGUGAUCUGUGAUCUGUGAUCUGUGAUCUGUGUAACCUCCACUCAUGCUUCCUGUGUUAUUUGGUGCUGCAUCAAAAUUCAGCCAAUCAGAAGCCUCAAUUUCUACACCAGCCAAUCAAAUAUCAACGGCAACUAAUGAUCAUUUACGUUCCAGUUUGAUAAAUACAAAAACUUUCACAUCAGCACUGUUUGAUGCAUCAUAAUUGAAUACAAAAUGUCAAACAUUGAAUCAUGGAAACGUUUUUGGCACUAGCGUCUGGAAUAUUUUGGGUCACAGUGACCUAAUACAACUGGGUCAUGAAAGAACUCGUCAGGGUGACCCAACAGGACUGGGUCAGUGUGACCUACCAUUACUGGGUCGGCAUGACCCAACAUGACUGGGUCGGUGUGACCUACCAUUACUGGGUCGGCAUGACCCAACACAGCUGUGUCAGUGUGACCUAACAUUACUGGGUCGGCUUGACCCAACACAACUGGGUCGGCGUGACUGUACACUACUGGACCAGGGUGACCUAACAUUACUGGGUCGGCGUGACCCAACACGACUGGGUCGGCGUUACCCAACACGACUGGGUCGGCAUGAUCCAACACGACUGGGUCAGGGUGACCUAACAUGUUCUACUGAAUCCAGGAAACUUGUGGGUUGCUGUGAAACUUGGCAGGUCAGAUAUUGUGUGUGACAACCAUGUGUGUUUAUGUAUGCAGUGUAUUGAUAGAUAUUCACUUGACAGUGGAUCCCAUGUUGUGACACUGGCCGUGUCAUCUGUACCAUAUAGAGUAGAAAAUAUCAGUGUGAUCAGUUUACAAUAUCAUGUUGAUUGGUCAGUAGACAAAGUAGGUUUUUUAAAUGUAUAAACUACUACAACAUUGAUUUUAAUACACUGUUUUCAUUGUAGGACUUUUAUAGUAUAAACUGCUACAACACUGACUUAAAUACACUGUUUUCAUUGUAGGACUUUUAUAGUAUAAACUGCUACAACACUGACUUAAGUACGCUGUUUUCAUUGUAGGACUUCUAUAGUAUUAACUGCUACAACACUGACUUAAAUACACUGUUUUCAUUGUAGGACUUUUAUAGUAUAAACUGCUACAACACAGACUUAAAUACACUGUUUUCAUUGUAGGACUUUUAUAGUAUAAACUGCUACAACACUGACUUAAAUACACUGUUUUCAUUGUAGGACUUUUAUAGUAUAAACUGCUACAAUAUUGACUGAAUGUACUGUUUUCAUAAUUCUUUUACGUUUGCUACACUUUCCUGUAAUGAAUGUCAAAUGACUAAUUUAAUUUUUUUUAUGAUUUUGCUUCAAUACUGAAGACUAUGAUUGUUGCCAUGGAUACCUUAAUUGUGCUUUCUUCUAGCAGCUAUUACAUGUUGAUGUUGUGGUAGCUUGUCUGUCCUGUUGUCACCUAUCACAGUGUUAUCUUUAAAGUUUUCCAAUUGUUGAUACAUUUUCAAAUUUUAUGACUGUGCAGGUGUUGAGGUCAUGGCCUCUGGUAUUGUUCCUGAUCUCUUGCUGUGGAUACAGAACGCAGCCUGUUAGGUUCUGGAUGUUCUCAGCCUCAAGGAGAGCACCAGUAGUCUGUUCAUCAUAGCCCAGCUUCUAGUUUUCAUGUUUUGUUGAUAUUUUUUUUAAAUUUUAUUUUAUUAAUAAAAAUUAGAGAGGGGGUGUAUUCAGUGUCAAAAUAGUUUGUGUUGAUAUGUGGUGAAUUCCUGAAAAAAACGCAAAGAAAAAACAGCAUUUAUGACUUAUUUUUGUUAAAUUUUGAAAACAAUUUUGUCAAUUAUGUUCAUAAAAUAGAAAGGGAUAUUGCCUGGAUCAUUUAAGAUGUAAAAUUUACAAAAAAUUGUGAUGAUAUGAGAUGAUGCCCUAAAACCUACAAAUUUUAUGGUACAAAAAAUGUUUUCACAGCAUUUCUGAAUAUUUUUGUCAACUUUUGCUAAAAUGUUGAAAAAAGGAAUAAUGUUGUUUGUUUUGAAUCGACCUCCUGAUGUGUGAUGUGAUGGAUCUGUUUGUAUGACCUGCUGUAAUCUCCGCAGUGUUACAGAGUAACCUGUCUUAGAUGCCUAGAAGUCACUGAUGUGAUGGUAACGAGUCUUUAGGACUUUAAAGUUUUGUAGUUCUCACAGAACGCUUCACUUGUCAUCCCUAGCUUUUCCUCCUCAGGAGAUAUCGCUACAAGGGAAUUGCCGACUAGUGGGACAGCAUCAAAUUACUUCUCUAAUCUCUCUGUCACUGAAGCUGGUCAGCUGUAAUGUUCACACUCUAGAGCCUUGUUAAAAACUUAAAAAGUUGGAAGAAUGAUUUUGGAUGAUAAAUAGAAUCUCAUCCUUGUGUUAUGAUGCCAAAUAUGUGAACACUCAUCCAUGAAAGUUGAAACUCCUUGGAAAGCCCUUGGAUGUUCAGCUUUUGUCUACUAGGGCUGGGACGGGUAACUCGGGUACCGGGGUAGUAAAUUCGGACUCGUCCCAGCCCUAGUCUACUCGUGUUGAUAUAUUUCUACCAUGACGCUCGGGGAGAUUCUGUAUUUCCUCUUUUCCCCCAUACAUCACACCAAGACCUGGGUCUGAUCCCCACAAGGUACAAUGUGGGAAGCCCUACCGCCAUAGCUGGAGUGUCAGCAUUUGCAGAAAUUGUGUAAAACUCGACUCCCACAUUCUUGAGCUGUAUUUCUUUACAAGGACUGUCAGUACCAUUGUUGGCAAAUUGCAAACUAUUUUAAUUCGGUUUGCCUGAGUUUAGCAUGUAUUUUCAAGGUGUAAUGAUCAUACUGUGGCUGAUCUACCGAUUUGACCCGGUGGUGACCCCUGCACCUACCAACCACAGCCUGACAGUGUCUGCAGCAUCUGCAGCAUCUGCCCAGGAGCAAGUCUAGCAACAUCUUCAACGCAGCGUGACUUGUAGCUUUAAUCAAUAUCACCAUACUGUUGUUACUUCUUCACCUAACGUUUAACCACGUCGGAUAACAUCCUUGUUUCAUGUGUCGUUUGAUUUGUCUGAUUUAGUAAUUUACGGCUUUUAGCUAGGUGGGUUUAACCCCUGCGGCCUGUGUGUGGUUCAGUGAUGUAGAUGUGGUAGAUUCUACACCAGCUGUGUGCUGCAUAUGUACCAUGUGAUACGCACGUCUUGCUGUUACCUGUUGUAUGUGUGUCACACUCAACCUAGACCUGGGUCACAGUGACCUGACAGGACUGUGUCAGGGUGACCUAACAGCUGGGUCAUGGUGACAUAACAAUAAAUGGCCAUGGUGACUUAACAAGACUGGGUUAUGAUGACCUGACAGGUUUGUGUCAAAAUGACCUUGACCACUCGGUGACCUAACAGGACGUUGUUUUGGGUAAAUGAAUAGGACUAUUUGUGAGGGUAACUUUAACACAACUUGGUCACGGUGAUCUCCUCCAGUGUCAGGUGACCUUGACCUAACACGACUGGGUCCUGUUAGAUGCCCUGCAAGUCAGAGUUCUGAUAUUGAGGAAUAUGGUCUAGAUUGAGUGAGACUACCUAUUUUAUCUGUUAUUGGCUUGCAGAGUUUUAUCCUAUACAUACAUAUAUAUAUAUGAUACAGUGUUUAUCCAUCUACUUGUACAGCUUAGUAUUGUGACUAUAUGUUUAUAUUCACUUGUAUCAUCCCUGUGUAUGUGAUACAGUGUUUAUACAUCUACUUGUACAGCUUAGCUCAGUGACUGUACUUCUAUAUUUGCUUGUAUCAUCCCUGUGUAUAUUCCCAGCUAUUUUUCUACUCACUGUAAAUACCCCACUAUGUAAUCUACAUGAGAAAAUCUACUGCAAUAAAUGCUUAUAAUAGA